UGACCAUCCCGAGCGGCUGAGAGAUCUGGAUCUGUGACGCCGCAGCAACCCUGGCCCCGGCGGGACCGCCGUCCGGAGCCAAAGGUGCUACUGCCAGAAGCGAUGGUGA
rnacentral:ncRNA from 1 species